CGCCCAACCGCCAGGGUAAUGAUGUUGGGACCCAAUACAGGUCAGGUAUCUACUACUACACCCCUGAGCAGGAGAAGGCGGCAAGAGAAUCUCUGGAGAAGCAGCAGAAGCUUCUGAAUCGGACGAUUGUCACUGAAAUUCUUCCUGCAAAGAGGUUCUACAGGGCAGAGGAGUACCACCAGCAAUACCUUGCGAAAGGCGGUCGCUUCGGGUUCAGGCAGUCUGCGGAGAAGGGUUGCAACGACCCCAUCCGUUGCUACGGGUGAAGGGCAAGUUUGAACCAGAACGCCACACAAGAACAGUGCUUGAAUAAGGAUAAAUAAUAGCCAGACAAAAAUUAUGCAGCAUAAUACUAUUUUGUUACCUUUGUUUGUAUCAAUCCAUCGAUUGUAAG
rnacentral:misc_RNA from 1 species